AUCUACAGCCAUACCACCCUGAAUGUGCCCGAUCUCGUCUGUUCUUGGAAGCUAAGCAGUGUCCAGCCUGGUUAAUACUUGCAUGGGAGACCGCCUGGGAAUACCAGGUGCUGUAGGUU
ensembl:rRNA 5S_rRNA 5S ribosomal RNA